AUGCGAAUAUAUUCUCGCUGGAUUGAUCUGCCGUGAUCAUUCCAGGCUAGACGUUCGCUAGAAUAAAACUAGUCUUGUGUCCUCAGCACUGGUUAUCCCUACAGUUCUGAUUCUUAAAAGCUAGUUACAUGC